GCAUGUUGUUGUGGUGCGUGCGCUAGUCUGCAUAUCAAGCCCGUUAUUAUUUUGUGGAUGUGAUGCAUUAGAAGAUAAGGCCCCAGCACGCAAAUACACAUAUGCAUACAUACAUAUUCGGCAAUUCUCUACAUAUGCAUGCACGUUUGGGCAAAAAAAUCAUGGUAGAGCGCGAUGCAUAAGAAGAUAAGAAGUUAAGGCAAAUGUGCACACACACAUAUACAUACAUACAUACAGAUUUGGCAAUUCUCUCGCUCCAUACAUGUGUUUGGCUAAAUCUGCCAUGGACAGGAAAACAUUCAGUAAGGCUUGGAAACUGAAUGAUCUUGGUUAUUUCAUGCCAUGGUUAGAACUUGAACAGAAUCGUAUUUAAAUUUUGUAGAAUUCUGUCGAUUUUUUGAGUCUCACGAAUCCUUAAAGUUAACAUAUGUCGCUCCACAAGUCCCACGCCCUUGGACAACAUUUAAUCAGCAAAUGGUUUCUAGUUGAUCUAUAUAUCCUUGGUUAUGCCAUAUCGGGGAUAUAGUCCUAGCGAACCUAAAGGACAACUGUCCCGGCCCCAAGAUGGUUUCCAGUUGACUAGCAUAUCCUUGGUUCCAUAGCAUACCAUCGAUAUAGUCCUUGCGAACCUACAGGGAGCCCUUUUCCAUGAGCUGCAGCUGCAGCUGUUGUUUAACAGCCGGCUUACAGCACUCUUUUAACAGCAACUGCUAUUUAACAGCACUCAUUUAAAUUGAGUUACAUUUUUGCCCCUUUAUGCUAUGCAAUGAAUUUUUUCAUUCGUAGAACUCAUCGACCUACAUUUCUGUUCGCCUGGUAUUUGAGUGGAAUUUUAGUGCAAAUUUGGCACCCGGCCGGCGACGGGGACGCCCCGUGCGGGUAUGCAACGAAUUUUUUCGGCAGAUAAAAAUAUUCUGCGUCGACCUGCUGGGCAUUUAUGUUCGCCUGGUAUUUUGGCAGAUUUUAAGAAAAAUCUCGACAGUCAGCGGCUGCCACCAGACGCCCUUUUUGGGUAUGCAAUGCAAAUGUUGGAGAUAUGUCGCUUCAAAACGACAUAUCUCC